rnacentral:rRNA from 1 species
AGCGAACGCUGGCGGCAGGCCUAACACAUGCGAGUCGAACGAACCUUUCGGGGUUAGUGGCGGACGGGUGAGUAACACGUGGGAACGUGCCUUUAAGUUCGGAAUAACUCAGGGAAACUUGUGCUAAUACCGAAUGUGCCCUUCGGGGGAAAGAUUUAUCGCCUUUAGAGCGGCCCGCGUCUGAUUAGCUAGUUGGUUGAGGUAAUGGCUCACCAAGGCGACGAUCAGUAGCUGGUCUGAGAGGAUGAUCAGCCACAUUGGGACUGAGACACGGCCCAAACUCCUACGGGAGGCAGCAGUGGGGAAUCUUGCGCAAUGGGCGAAAGCCUGACGCAGCCAUGCCGCGUGAAUGAUGAAGGUCUUAGGAUUGUAAAAUUCUUUCACCGGGGACGAUAAUGACGGUACCCGGAGAAGAAGCCCCGGCUAACUUCGUG